rnacentral:rRNA from 1 species
GACGAACGCUGGCGGCGUGCUUAACACAUGCAAGUCGAACGGAAAGGCCCUGCUUGCAGGGUACUCGAGUGGCGAACGGGUGAGUAACACGUGGGUGAUCUGCCCUGCACUUCGGGAUAAGCCUGGGAAACUGGGUCUAAUACCGGAUAGGAGCCAUUUUUAGUGUGAUGGUUGGAAAGUUUUUUCGGUGUAGGAUGAGCUCGCGGCCUAUCAGCUUGUUGGUGGGGUAAUGGCCUACCAAGGCGGCGACGGGUAGCCGGCCUGAGAGGGUGGACGGCCACCUUGGGACUGAGAUACGGCCCAGCCUCCUACGGGAGGCAGCCGUGGGGAAUCUUGCACAAUGGGCGCCAGCCUGAUGCAGCGACGCCGCGUGGGGGAUGACGGCCUUCGGGUUGUAAACUCCUUUCGCUAGGGACGAAGCUUUUUGUGACGGUACCUAGAGAAGAAGCACCGGCUAACUACGUG